AGUCGUGUGGUCUAAUGGUUAUGAUUUCUCGUUCACAAAUUGUGAGCUUGCUUGAUUAUUCAAUCCGAGAAGGUUCCCGGUUCGAUCCCGGGCACGACUA